GAAUAUUGGACAAUGGGGGCAACCCUGAUCCAGCAAUGCCGCGUGUGUGAAGAAGGCCUGCGGGUUGUAAAGCACUUUCAGCAGGGAAGAAAAGCUCGGGGUUAACACCUCCGGGUCUUGACGUUACCUGAUGAAGAAGCACCGGCUAACUCCGUGCCGGCAGCCGCGGUAAUACGGAGGGUGCGAGCGUUAAUCGGAAUUACUGGGCGUAAAGCGCACGUAGGCGGUCGUGUAAGUCGGAUGUGAAAGCCCUGGGCUUAACCUGGGAACUGCAUUCGAAACUGCACGGCUAGAGUAUGGGAGAGGGAAGCAGAAUUUCCGGUGUAGCGGUGAAAUGCGUAGAUAUCGGAAGGAAUACCAAUGGCGAAGGCAGCUUCCUGGCCCAAUACUGACGCUCAGGUGCGAAAGCGUGGGGAUCAAACAGG
rnacentral:rRNA from 1 species